rnacentral:lncRNA from 1 species
GGCGCGCGCGCGUGUGUUUAUGUGUCUGUGUGCGUGUGUGUGUGUGUCUCUCUCUGUGUGUGUGUGAGAUGAAUUGGAGUCAUACGACUGGGUGUUUCCUUCCGAGUGGUUUUCAUCAGCAAUCCAUUAGGAAAUCAUGGAAACUUUUUUUUUCCUGGCUAAAAGGAUGAAAACUGAGUCAUCCACUUUUGACUGUCAUCCAUGGAAGAGCUCUUAUUAAAAGCCUCAGACUUUCGGGACCUAUGAUUCUUUGGCACAACCUUUUGGAAAAUUCUUAAGCAGGGAUGAAGCAAACUUGAUUGGAGUUGGGGAAAAAGAAGACAGAUUAGUAUUUUUCAUGCUGACAAAAAAUAGCUGCUAUGACUUUUCCCGCAACGUGGACAGGGGCCAAGUGAAGCUGAACUGGUCAUGGUCUGUCGCCCAGUGUUCCCUUGUCGUCGGCGAUUUUGCCCCCGACCCUUCUUGGUGGGCUUAGUGGUGGCAAUCUGUCUCUUCUACCAGACUCUGACCCUCCGAGGGUCGAGGAAGCUCACAGCCGCUGCCCCUGGGGCUGUCCCACACACAUCCACUGAAACCCAGGCAAGCAGAUGCAAGAAAGGAUUCUCUCAGGACAAACAGUGCUUCCUUCUCUCUGGUAAUGCCCAGGAAACCAGAAAGGUAAGACUCUCAUAAGCUUAACGGAGACAGUUUCUGCAAAGACAGCAAUCUGCUUCUCUGUCCUUUCUAUAAAACUAAAAUUAACUUCCAUGAGGUCUGAAAGGGAUCCAGAGUGUAAACAGCCUAGAGAGUGACCUGAUGACUGGGAAACACGUUACAUAAGCUUCAACUUCUUAUAGUUACUUCCAGAAAGUUCUGGCAUUACUUUAUCUCUUAGGAUUUCACUUCAUUUCAGUGGAAUGAAGUAGACAGUUUGGAGGAGGCAUAAAAUGAUGUGGAUUCUUUCUAAAAUAUCAGUAUUCUAAGAGAUCUGAGGAUUUACAAUUCAAAAACAUAAAUCAAAGUUUCAAAAACUUUGAUAAACCUUGAGUGUCUCUUUUCUCAAGGCAGUCAGUAUGAGUGCCCAGACCAUUCCAGACUCAAAGAUUCUCCAAAGUUUCAUUUUGUAACUAGCUAGAUUGAUUCUUAAUUGGUGACCACAUUUCUAAAGCAAUAUAUUUACUUCGAAAGCAUUAAAAUAAUAGGAUAAUAGGUUUCUUCAAAAGAAUUGAUACAAUGUAUUUUAUUGUUUAUAGGAUCAGGGAAAUACAGAUUAUUCUAUAUUUAUACUAUUCAGAUAAAC